rnacentral:rRNA from 1 species
CCUACGGGUGGCUGCAGUGAGGAAUAUUGGUCAAUGGACGAGAGUCUGAACCAGCCAAGUAGCGUGAAGGAUGACUGCCCUAUGGGUUGUAAACUUCUUUUAUAUGGGAAUAAAAUGUUCCACGUGUGGGAUUUUGUAUGUACCAUAUGAAUAAGGAUCGGCUAACUCCGUUCCAGCAGCCGCGGUAAUACGGAGGAUCCGAGCGUUAUCCGGAUUUAUUGGGUUUAAAGGGAGCGUAGGUGGAUUGUUAAGUCAGUUGUGAAAGUUUGCGGCUCAACCGUAGAAUUGCAGUUGAAACUGGCAGGCUUGAGUACAGUAGAGGUGGGCGGAAUUCGAGGUGUAGCGGUGAAAUGCUUAGAGAUCACGAAGAACUCCGAUUGCGAAGGCAGCCCACUGGACUGCAACUGACACUGAGGCUCGAAAGUGUGGGGAGCAAACAGGAUUAGAUACCCCAGUAGUC